CCUACGGGAGGCAGCAGUGAGGAAUAUUGGUCAAUGGACGAAACUCUGAACCAGCCACGCCGCGUGGAGGAUGACGGCUCUAGGAUUUGUAAACUCUUUUUUUACAAAGGUAAACUUCAAUAUGUAUAUUCUACUGAACGUACUAUACGAAUAAGGAUCGGCUAACUCUGGGCCAGCAGCCGCGGUAAUACGGAGGGUCCAAGCGUUAUCCGGAAUUAUUGGGUUUAAAGGGUGCGUAGGCGGAUUGAUAAGUUAGACGUGAAAUGUCAGGGCUUAACUCGAGAACUGCAUGUGAAACUGUUAAUCUAGAGUGUAGGAGAGGUAGGCGGAAUGCAUGGUGUAGCGGUAAAAUGCUUAGAGAUCAAGAAGAAUACUGAUUGCGAAGGCAGCUUACCAGACUAUAACUGACGUUGAGGCACGAAAGCGUGGGGAGCAAACAGGAUUAGAUACCCGUGUAGUC
rnacentral:rRNA from 1 species